rnacentral:rRNA from 1 species
GGCGAACGCUGGCGGCGUGCCUAACACAUGCAAGUCGAACGGGACUUAGUGGAAUGCGGCUUCGGCCAAAGGAAAUUAAGUUUAGUGGCGAACGGGUGAGUAACGCGUGAGAAACCUGCCUCUCAGUGGGGGACAACAGUUGGAAACGACUGCUAAUACCGCAUAACAUUACCGGAGGGCAUCCUCUGGUAAUCAAAGCUUUGUGUGCUGAGAGAUGGUCUCGCGUCUGAUUAGCUAGAUGGCGGGGUAACGGCCCACCAUGGCGACGAUCAGUAGCCGGUCUGAGAGGAUGAACGGCCACAUUGGGACUGAGAUACGGCCCAG